GAUGGAUCAAUGAGGAGAGAGAGACUCUUGGGGAACGUAACUAUGGUAACUGACGUGAGUCAGGCUGCGCUGAAACAGCAGCAGUUCAUCUCUCGUUCUCUGCCGUGCUUCAGAUCUUAACGUGAUGAGCGAGUGAGGUUGUGACAGAAGCCUGAUGUUACAGUCGUGAUAUGUGCUGCCCAGCGUGAGAAGCAAGAAGCCCGUCUCCUCCUCCUCCUCCUCUUCAUCUCGUGUGCCCGUGUUCGACAGCCCAAGAG